rnacentral:rRNA from 1 species
UAAUACGGAGGGUGCAAGCGUUGUUCGGAAUUACUGGGCGUAAAGGGCGCGUAGGCGGCCGGAUAAGUCAGAUGUGAAAGUCCACAGCUCAACUGUGGAAGUGCAUUUGAAACUGUCUGGCUUGAGUAUCGGAGGGGAAAGUGGAAUUCCCGGUGUAGAGGUGAAAUUCGUAGAGAUCGGGAGGAACACCGGUGGCGAAGGCGACUUUCUGGACGAAUACUGACGCUGAGGCGCGAAAGCGUGGGGAGCAAACAGGAUUAGAUACCCAGGUAGUCCACGCCGUAAACGAUGUGAACUAGGGAUAGGGGGUGUUGAUCCCUUCUGUCCCGCAGCUAACGCAUUAAGUUCACCGCCUGGGGAGUACGGUCGCAAGAUUA